UACGAAGGGGGCUAGCGUUGCUCGGAAUCACUGGGCGUAAAGGGUGCGUAGGCGGGUUUUUAAGUCAGAGGUGAAAUCCUGGAGCUCAACUCCAGAACUGCCUUCGAUACUGAGAGUCUCGAGUCCGGGAGAGGUGAGUGGAACUGCGAGUGUAGAGGUGAAAUUCGUAGAUAUUCGCAAGAACACCAGUGGCGAAGGCGGCUCACUGGCCCGGUACUGACGCUGAGGUGCGAAAGCGUGGGGAGCAAACAGG
rnacentral:rRNA from 1 species